ACGCUCCAGCUAACCGGCGUGCGGCUGAGGAGCACGGAAGAGAGCACGGGCGCGCGGCGCCUUCCAAAAAGCCCUAGGCCCCGCCCACUCGCUCAGCAAGGAUGCCAAUGCCCUGGAGAGUGGAAAAGAUGCUACUGAAACAUCUCAACAUAACACAGGGACUAGAGAGCCUUUUUUCAACCAAAUGGGAGUUAUCCCCAAAACUCUAAACUCACUAUGAUGAAUUUAAGUAAGCCUGUCUUGGAAGCUGUUACAGGAAAAAAGUCAAAGAAAGGAAGAAUUUUGUGUGCUACAAAAUCCUCUGG